UUUAUAAUACCUAUUAAUAAAGUAUAAAUAAUAUAGAGUAUAGGGGGCUAAAUAAAAUUAUACAGGGCAACUGUAACUUACGUGAGCUACUACUUCGGAUCCCAGCUUUUGGCUUCUGCUGCUUUGGUAAAAAGUCCUUUUGCCCACUACCCAUUUUCAGCACUAGCAUGAAGGUUCUAUUCAUGAUGGUGCAUGGUCAUUGGUCAUCGGGAUUUGGUUUGUGGUUGUGGAGAAAAUCUUUUGUCGUCGUUUCCAUUUUUGGAUUGAGUUAGGGUCAUCAUUGGACGAAGAACGACCCUACUGCAAAUUAUUAAUUGAUAUCCGAACUUCAGAUGUA
rnacentral:lncRNA from 1 species